rnacentral:rRNA from 1 species
UACGUAGGGAGCGAGCGUUGUCCGGAUUUAUUGGGCGUAAAGCGCGCGUAGGCGGUUUUGUAAGUCGGAUGUGAAAACUCCAAGCUCAACUUGGAGCCUGCAUCCGAAACUGCGAUGACUAGAGUCUGGUAGGGGAACACGGAAUACCUGGUGUAGCGGUGAAAUGCUUAGAUAUCAGGUGGAACACCAGUGGCGAAGGCGGUGUUCUGGGCCAGUACUGACGCUGAGGCGCGAAAGCGUGGGGAGCGAACAGG